UACCUGUCCAUUCCAAGGAUUCGGUCCAGCAGAAGCGUGAGGAGGUGGCGGAGGCCCCGAGGGCUUUGCGUCAUCACUUCUGCGGCCUGCGGGCGAGAAGGUGCGCUUCGGGAGUAGCGCGGGAGGACAGGAGGCGCAGGUUGUGAGGGACGCAGGCCCUGGGGCUUCGGUCUCUGUCCUCCGAGCUCAGAGCCUCCAGGCUUCUUCCCGGCCGCGCGCUCAGCACUCACUGUCUUACGGUCCCGAAGCGCUUUAAGGUGCGCAGUCCGCAGGCCUUGCCUACUGAUCUUCCAGCCACCCCUUGAAGGAAGCAGUUGCAGAGGCAUAGAGCCGGCCAUCUCGCACAAUGUCUUCUACCAGCUGCUCAUAGUCCUCUGCAAAGUCAACCAAGGUAACAUAGGGAAUCUGGAAGCCACGGGCGCUGUUGGCCUCGCUUGUCUUGAAGUUGAUCCAGAGCUUCCUGGAACGGGCAGUGAAGGCAAUGGGACGCUCGUAGGUCUGGCAGAUUUGGACUGCCCUUCCCUGGCCCAGCUCUGCAAGCCACCCACAGUUCUUUCUCAUGACGAGGACGUCCCCACACUCAUCCUCAGAUGGCAGGAAGAUCUCUGACGCUGAGCACAGUGCCAAACCUAUAUAGAAACUCAUUUGGGAUAUGGAGGAGAAUAUGCCACCAGUUCUCCAAAGUGGAGGGUUCUUCCCAGCAGGAAACCUCUCAACUCUGGCUGGCUGACCUGCUGCCCUAGCCUCCCCCCUCCUCUCGCAGCUGUUGGGCCAAAAGACACAAAGAACGAGCCCAGUCCUCCUCGUCCCCACUCCUUGUGACCAGGGGAUAUGGACCUAAUGAAUCAUCAUUUUCAGUAUGGCUACCCUGCCUUUUUCCUCCACCCUUUCCCCCCAUUCUCCCUCAGACCUGGCUAAUUAAAAGGAAGGGAAACAGAAUGCAUAAUGUGGGUAACUAUACUGUAAUAACAGUUAACACAAAGUGUUUCCAUUUGCCAAGCACUGUUCUAAGUACUUUUUAUGUAAUCACUCUUUUAAUCACAACACAGUAUGAGGCGAGCACUAUGGAAAACUGAGGCACAGAGACAUUAAGUGACUUGUCCAGGAUCACAGAGCUAGUAGGAGACAGGGCUGGGAUCUGAACCCAGCUUCAGUCCUCCUAACUAGUAUCCUACUCUCCCUUUGACCAGUACAGCCUUUCGAGGGGUAGACAUCAUUUCCCCAGAGCCCACUGGGAAGGUCUGAGGAAUGUGGGGUAAGAAGGUUAUGGAACACACCUGUGACCUCAUGCACACACACAGUCAGGGCUCAAAUAUCCUUCCAGACCCAGGAGCAAAUGUGAAUCGCAUGUCCAUUAACUAAGAGGGUUAGGGACCCAUGGGGGAUAGGAAUGAGAGUAGGGAAACAAGGUGGGGUAGGGGAAGGGGGCACUAAGGAACUGGCUGGACUUCUCUGUCCCUUGAACUGAGAUGAAACAGGCAGAUAGGAGACAACCCUUAGCUAUGUCCUGGGUUCUUCAUAAGAAGGAGGUUGAGGAGGUGUCAUCCC
rnacentral:lncRNA from 1 species